UACGUAGGGGGCGAGCGUUUGUCCGGGAAUCAUUGGGCGUAAAGAGCGUGUAGGCGGACUGGAAGGUCUGGUGUGAAAGCCCGGGGCUCAACCCGGAGGGUCACCGGAAACCGACAGUCUUGAAUCUGGAAGAGGAGAGUGGAAUUCCUGGUGUAGCGGUGGAAUGCGCAGAUAUCAGGAGGAACACCAAUGGCGAAGGCAGCUCUCUGGUACAUGAUUGACG
rnacentral:rRNA from 1 species